rnacentral:lncRNA from 1 species
CGCCAGCUUCUCCCCGGUGGGUCUAAUCGUCUGCGCACGGCCGCGUAUCCGAACCUUCUGGUCCUUCAACGCCUCAGUUAGAGCUCCGACCUCCGUCCGAAGAUUGACGUCGACCAUCUUCAUCGACUGGAGCUGAAUGAGUGACACGUCGCCAUAGUUCGCUGCGAGUUGGUCCUCCGGCGCGGCGGAGUACUGAUCAGCGCGAGCCGCGGCGGUCGCUGCUUCUCGCUCCUGGCGGCGACGGAGCUUCUCGAGCUUGGCCGC